UACGGGGGGGGCAAGCGUUGUUCGGAAUUACUGGGCGUAAAGGGCUCGUAGGCGGCCAACUAAGUCCGACGUGAAAUCCCCAGGCUUAACCUGGGAACUGCGUCGGAUACUGGAUGGCUUGAAUCCGGGAGAGGGAUGCGGAAUUCCAGGUGUAGCGGUGAAAUGCGUAGAUAUCUGGAGGAACACCGGUGGCGAAGGCGGCAUCCUGGACCGACACUGACGCUGAGGAGCGAAAGCCAGGGGAGCAAACGGG
rnacentral:rRNA from 1 species